GAUGUUAAGGCAAUUUCGAUAAGAUUUUGUCAGGGGCAGAUAACCCCGUAAGGACCUCAUUAUGUAUUCAUAUAUUCAUUAAUGGCGAAGAUUCCGUAAGCUGCGUCUGUCGAUGAAACUGUUAUGAAAUCAAAUUACAUACAUGCCUGUUAACUAAAAACGGGUAGCCAUAUGAUGUAAUUUGUUUAUCGAAACACGAAUAUUUUAUGUUUGUGCUUUAAUUAUUAUGGUUAACAGUUGCAAUAGCUGUUUUUGUUGACGAGAUUGUCGGCUUGUGGACCCCGCCUCCUUUUGCAGAUUAACCAAUCAGUAGACGAUCGCCGUCAAGUAGAUGUUUGUAGUUUGCAGAAUGGAAAGAACCUUGCAGCGAAAAUUAUUUUCACUUCUAUGUGAAAAUCUAACCAGAAAACUCCCCUGUCAAUUACAAGAUACAGUAUGCCAUUCCAGCUUUGAUGAAAUAAAGUAAUGGUUUGAUUUGGAGAGCUUUAUUAUUAUCAUGAUUAUAGACAGGGAUGAUGACCUGCAGUAGAAAGUUCCUUAUAACUCAUCAUUGCCAUUACGGAAGAUCUGAUUGUAAUUUGUUUAGAAAGCCACCAAAUAUGUCCAUGAAAAGUAGAAAAAAGACAGCAAUUCUAUAUAAUGUACUUAUAAGUACUAAGCAGAAGCAUUGACUGUUUCAAGACCAAAUGAAUUGGAAUUUAGUGUUUUGAUGCUGAGAGACAGAGGAAAAUUAACUACACAAUUUAGCUUCUUUUUCAUCAUCAUGUAUCACUGAAGUUGAUGUUUACCAUCUUAAAGAGCUUUUACCUCAGUUAAAAUGAAUUCUAAAUACGGACAUUUUGGAGAUUUGUGAAUUUUCUUACAAUUGGAGUUUCAAAAAAGGAUUUCAUUUAACAAAAUUAUAUUUCAUGGAUGUAAUUUGUCGUUUCUUUCAUGAAAUAUUUGAAAAAUCUGCAAUACGUUUGUAUCUGACCAAGUGAGAGAUCUACAAAUAGACAUAUGAUAUUCAGUUGAACUGUAAACAUGGUAAAGAAGGAGAUAUUCAUUUAUAAGACUUAUAUGAGUGUUUUGUUAUUUUUAUGGCAAUUACGGGGAAAAAAUAGUAAUUGAUUUAAACAUUAAUCCUAUCUAGAUAUACAUGAGAUAUACUAUCAUAUACAUGUAGGCAUACAAUUCACUUAUGCACCACUAAGGCCAAGUAAAUUUAAUUAGUAGAUUUUCAUCCAAAUUUUUGAAAAAAAUGGGGUGGGUGGGAGGAUUUUAUUUUUUAUUUUUUAUUAGAUAUGAAACGCUCUUGUGACGUGUUCUUCAUAUAUGCAAGUGUAAUAAUAAGGUUCUAUCAUGUAUAUACAUGUAUAACGAAUCAAACAUACAAAGAAAUGCAAAAACCAAAAUUUGAAACAGGAUGUUAUUAAUGAAACGAAAUUAUCGACAGUUACCGGUAACGAAAAUGAACAAAAAUCUGGAAAUCGUAAAUUUUUCAAAAUAAAAAAAAAUUGGGGCGGAACGAUUUCAGAGGGGCGGGCGGGGAUGAAAAUCUAUCAAUUAAUUUUAAUUGGCCUAAUGGAGUUACAUGUAAUUAUAAAACUAAGAAUAUGACAUAUGAUUGCCAAUAAAUUAACAACUCUUCAUCAGAGAACAAAUAGUCAUAUUAUAUAUUGUCCACCAGCAUGACCAGAGAACAAGAAGAUCAUAUUAUAUCAUGAUUUAUAUUUCAAUUUCAUUUCAUUUCAUAACAG